CCGCGGGCUGGGCGGGCGGCGGCGGCGGCGCUGCGCCGCCGGCGAGGCCGCCGGCUCCUGCUGCGGUACGGCGAUGGUACGGUGGGUACGGUUAGACGAUUGGUACCGCAGGAGAUGUACCGUAACCUAGAGGCAUGUGUCCAGGAACUGAACACUGCCUGACGGUGUUGCACGGCCUUCGUACAGCUUCGUGAGGUCGAAUGCCGAACGGCCGACUGCACCACCGUACAACGACUCUGCAGCGUGUCCGCAGUUGGCUACUCAGGCACCCCACCAGUCGACCCAGGCACCCACCCGGUGGCGGGACAGCUUGUCCGAAGAUGGCUACCCAGGCAUCCCCCCCCUCGCUCAGUAGCCCCUCGCUCAAUAGCCCCUCGCUCAAUAGCCCCUCGCUCAAUAGCCCCUCGCUCAGUAGCCCCUCGCUCAGUAGCCCCUCGCUCUAUUGCAUUGGGUUCGGUUUAGUUUGGGCUGGUAUCUACACACACAUACACACACACACACGCACACACACACACACACACCAGCCGACCCAGGUACCCACCCGGCGGUGGCACAGCGGCCGUGGGUCCCCCUCCGCCACCGCCGCCGCCGCCUGGCCCCCCGGGCAGCGGCAGCAGCGGCGCG
rnacentral:lncRNA from 1 species